rnacentral:rRNA from 1 species
GANGCGUUGUAUUAGCUGGUUGGUGAGGUAACGGCUCACCAAGGCGACGAUACAUAGGGGGACUGAGAGGUCAACCCCCCCACAUUGGUACUGAGACACGGACCAAACUCCUACGGAAGGCAGCAG